ACAGAUACAUUAUAGGAACUUUGUAGGAAAGCACAAAGAGGCUGUAGAGAUUACAACCACCACCUUAUCUGCUGCCGGAGAGUCUGUGUGUGUGUUUUUUUAAGUGUUUCGCCCAGCUCCUCCUUCCCCCACUACAAACAGCAAACACAUGAGUGAGCUAAUCAGCUCUUAAACUGAAAAACCUUUCGAUACAGGAGAGUGAUAAAAGCUGAGGGGCGGCAGGAGGGUCAAAUAAAAGUUGCUCCGCAGUUCGCUCAUCCAAGCCCCGCAGCGACCGCAGGGGGGUGAGGUUCCCAAAGCCACUUUCACACCUUCGAUAAUGCACUAGCAAAGAGAAGCCCGGAGAGGCUGAAGUUUCCACGGAGGGCACCGUCGGGGAGACGCAGCCCGGGAGGACAGAAGGGUUGGGCUCGCUACCUCUGCACACGGGCGAGCCGGGGCUCCGUCGCUCAGAUGUCCUUAAUAAGCAGAUUUGACCAAGAACUCUGACUUCAGUGGUGGGAGAUUUCUGAGAAAGAGGAGGAAGAGGCUAAUAAUAUUUUAAAGAAAGGGAUUUGGGAAAGAAGCUGCUUGUCUAAUAACAGUCAAG